AUGCAAGGUUAAGCAGCGAAUGUGGAGCCGUAGCGAAAGCGAGUCUGAAUAGGGCGUUGAGUAUUUGGUCGUAGACCCGAAACCAGGUGAUCUACCCUUGGUCAGGUUGAAGUUCAGGUAACACUGAAUGGAGGACCGAACCGACUUACGUUGAAAAGUGAGCGGAUGAACUGAGGGUAGCGGAGAAAUUCCAAUCGAACUUGGAGAUAGCUGGUUCUCUCCGAAAUAGCUUUAGGGCUAGCCUCAAGUGAUGAUUAUUGGAGGUAGAGCACUGUUUGGACGAGGGGCCCCUCUCGGGUUACCGAAUUCAGACAAACUCCGAAUGCCAAUCAAUUUAACUUGGGAGUCAGAACAUGGGUGAUAAGGUCCGUGUUCGAAAGGGAAACAGCCCAGACCACCAGCUAAGGUCCCAAAAUAUAUGUUAAGUGGAAAAGGAUGUGGCGUUGCCCAGACAACUAGGAUGUUGGCUUAGAAGCAGCCAUCAUUUAAAGAGUGCGUAAUAGCUCACUAGUCGAGUGACACUGCGCCGAAAAUGUACCGGGGCUAAACAUAUUACCGAAGCUGUGGAUUGUCCUUCGGACAAUGGUAGGAGAGCGUUCUAAGGGCGUUGAAGCAUGAUCGCAAGGACAUGUGGAGCGCUUAGAAGUGAGAAUGCCGGUGUGAGUAGCGAAAGACGGGUGAGAAUCCCGUCCACCGAUUGAC
rnacentral:rRNA from 1 species